rnacentral:lncRNA from 1 species
GUUUUCUAGAGUUGUGUGUGUCGUAUAGUUUUCCUGUGUCCUACAGAGCUGUGUGUUUUCUAAAGAUGUGUGUGUCGUAGAGUUUUCCUGUGUCCUGCAGAGCUGUGUGUUUUCUAGAGUUGUGUGUGUUGUAGAGUUUUCCUGUGUCCUGCAGAGCUGUGUGUUUUCUAAAGAUGUGUGUGUCGUAGAGUUUUCCUCCACGCUGCUUCUUGACAGACUGAAACAUGACCCCGCUAAGCCACACUGCUUCUUGACAGACGGAAACAUGACCCCGCUAAGCCACACUGCUUCUUGACAGACUGCUUGCUUAACCCGGAAGCCAGCCGCACCAAUCUGUCGUACAGCUGGCGACCGAAACCGCUGUGCCACUCAGGAGGCCCCAAGAUGGAUGUUUGUUAAACAAUUUGUGAAAUUGUUUAUAACAACAUUAUGUUAUUAUUUUUGGAAGAAAAACGAAUUCAAACAAUUGAGGCCCACCUGCAGUACCUCCGCAUACCACAAGUUAAAAACCACUGCUGUAGAGUUGUGUUGUAGAG